rnacentral:rRNA from 1 species
AUUGAACGCUGGCGGCAGGCCUAACACAUGCAAGUCGAGCGAGAAAGCACUUCGGUGCGAGUACAGCGGCGGACGGGUGAGUAACGCGUAGGAAUCUACCCAGUAGUGGGGGACAACAGUCGGAAACGGCUGCUAAUACCGCAUACGCCCUACGGGGGAAAGCGGGGGAUCUUCGGACCUCGCGCUAUUGGAUGAGCCUGCGUUGGAUUAGCUUGUUGGUGAGGUAAAAGCUCACCAAGGCGACGAUCCAUAGCUGGUCUGAGAGGAUGAUCAGCCACACUGGAACUGAGACACGGUCCAGACUCCUACGGGAGGCAGCAGUGGGGAAUAUUGCGCAAUGGGGGCAACCCUGACGCAGCCAUGCCGCGUGUGUGAAGAAGGCCCUAGGGUUGUAAAGCACUUUCAAUUGGGAAGAAAAGCUGCUGGUUAAUAGCCAGUAGCCCUGACAUUACCUUUAGAAGAAGCACCGGCUAACUCCG